rnacentral:rRNA from 1 species
CGCGGCCUAUCAGCUUGUUGGUGAGGUAACGGCUCACCAAGGCAUCGACGGGUAGCUGGUCUGAGAGGACGAUCAGCCACACUGGGACUGAGACACGGCCCAGACUCCUACGGGAGGCAGCAGUAGGGAAUCUUGCGCAAUGGGCGAAAGCCUGACGCAGCAACGCCGCGUGGGGGAUGAAUGCCUUCGGGUUGUAAACCCCUUUCAGCAGGGACGAAAAUGACGGUACCUGCAGAAGAAGCUCCGGCCAACUACGUGCCAGCAGCCGCGGUAAUACGUAGGGAGCGAGCGUUGUCCGGAAUUAUUGGGCGUAAAGAGCUCGUAGGCGGUUCAGUAAGUCGGGUGUGAAAACUCAAGGCUCAACCUUGAGACGCCACUCGAUACUGCUGUGACUUGAGUCCGGUAGAGGAGUGUGGAAUUCCUGGUGUAGCGGUGAAAUGCGCAGAUAUCAGGAGGAACACCGGCGGCGAAGGCGGCACUCUGGGCCGGUACUGACGCUGAGGAGCGAAAGCAUGGGGAGCAAACAGGAUUAGAUACCCUGGUAGUCCAUGCCGUAAACGGUGGGUGCUAGCUGUGGGCCACAUUCCACGUGGUCCGUGACGAAGUUAACACAUUAAGCACCCCGCCUGGGGAGUACGG